CUGUAUCUUCCUUCAACGGUGUUUGAAUGGAACAG
rfam:Rattus norvegicus chromosome 2, whole genome shotgun sequence.